rnacentral:sRNA from 1 species
GCUGGGUGUGGUGGUGCACACCUAUAAACCCAGCAACUUGGGAGGCUGUGGCAGGAGGAUUGCAAGUUCAAGGUCAGCCCCAGCAACUUAGUGAGACCCUGUCUCAA